GGAGGAAAAGGAACCAACCGGGAUUGCCUUAGUAACGGCGAGUGAAGCGGCAAAAGCUCAAAUUUGAAAUCUGGUACCUUCGGUGCCCGAGUUGUAAUUUGGAGAGGGCAACUUUGGGGCCGUUCCUUGUCUAUGUUCCUUGGAACAGGACGUCAUAGAGGGUGAGAAUCCCGUGUGGCGAGGAGUGCGGUUCUUUGUAAAGUGCCUUCGAAGAGUCGAGUUGUUUGGGAAUGCAGCUCUAAGUGGGUGGUAAAUUCCAUCUAAAGCUAAAUAUUGGCGAGAGACCGAUAGCGAACAAGUACAGUGAUGGAAAGAUGAAAAGAACUUUGAAAAGAGAGUGAAAAAGUACGUGAAAUUGUUGAAAGGGAAGGGCAUUUGAUCAGACAUGGUGUUUUGUGCCCUCUGCUCCUUGUGGGUAGGGGAAUCUCGCAUUUCACUGGGCCAGCAUCAGUUUUGGUGGCAGGAUAAAUCCAUAGGAAUGUAGCUUGCCUCGGUAAGUAUUAUAGCCUGUGGGAAUACUGCCAGCUGGGACUGAGGACUGCGACGUAAGUCAAGGAUGC
rnacentral:rRNA from 1 species